GGGCGCAAGCCUGAUGCAGCGACGCCGCGUGAGGGAUGACGGCCUUCGGGUUGUAAACCUCUUUCAGCACAGACGAAGCGCAAGUGACGGUAUGUGCAGAAGAANGACCGGCCAACUACGUGCCAGCAGCCGCGGUAAUACGUAGGGUCCGAGCGUUGUCCGGAAUUACUGGGCGUAAAGAGCUCGUAGGUGGUUUGUCGCGUUGUUCGUGAAAACUCACAGCUUAACUGUGGGCGUGCGGGCGAUACGGGCAGACUAGAGUACUGCAGGGGAGACUGGAAUUCCUGGUGUAGCGGUGGAAUGCGCAGAUAUCAGGAGGAACACCGGUGGCGAAGGCGGGUCUCUGGGCAGUAACUGACGCUGAGGAGCGAAAGCGUGGGGAGCGAACAGGAUUAGAUACCCUGGUAGUCCACGCCGUAAACGGUGGGUACUAGGUGUGGGUUUCCUUCCUUGGGAUCCGUGCCGUAGCUAACGCAUUAAGUACCCCGCCUGGGGAGUACGGCCGCAAGGCUAAAACUCAAAGGAAUUGACGGGGG
rnacentral:rRNA from 1 species